UGUACAGUAUGUGCGUUUUUAAUUUAAAAUGUCUUAACUUAACUCGGAAGGAUCUGAAUGACAGGUCAUUUCAUCUGAGAUCAUUCCGCAUGUAACAGCCGGAAUCACUCACUGUUUCCCACAACGACACGAGUCAUCAGCCGUUUCCUCAAGGUCACGUCAGGUAAGUGUUUGUAAAUAAAUGUUAAUUUUAGACUAUUUUAAUUGGCAAAGACGCAAAUACUCGACGUUUUUGUAAACAUAUAAGUUAUAUAAAGGUGUGUUAUGUUAUGUGACCGACUUAAAGUGUGUGUUACGUUAUAUGUGUCCGAGUUAAAGUGGAGCUAUUUUAGUUAAGAUAAUAUCGGACAGGGUUAAGGACUGCGUCUUAAUUAUAAUUGGGACAUUUUUACAAACAAACCUUAUAAAAUACAAUACUGGCGUGCAUUUUGAGACAAAACAAUAGCACUCAUAUGUUAACAGAUGUCAGUAUUUUAGUCAGUGAUAAGUCCUGUCCGAGAAAACCGCCCAAUAGUGUUUAAUUCAAUUACGUGUGAUGUCUGAGGGAAACUUGGCAAUUUUAGGGUAUAAAAUCUUUCACCGUCAAGCUUUAUUAUAUUAAACAUGUUAUUUAUGUAUGUGUGUGUGUUUAUAUUCCUCUGUUUAUUAAACCAGAGGGGUGGAGAGGCAGACCAGACCACCACCAUACGCGAAGAUGAGCCUCGAGGCUUGACAGUUAUUUUUUCAAACUGAGGAGUUCGGACUCCGGACCGUCAUUUCUGCUUGUUUGUACCCUGAGGUAAGUAAACUGUCUACAUUUUUGAAACGAUAUUACUGAAAUAUUUAGUAUAAUUAGUUAAUAUUUAUUUUGUUAGAGUAGGUCUUGUGCUAAAUAGUGAUACUAGAAGCUACAUUUAUAAUAUUUACCUCAGUUAAAAAAUACUGCUGGUAACGUUAAAGCACUGACGGGCUUCGUCAACCGUCAGUUAUAAAAGCUCUGUUAAAUACAUUUUGUUCCUGGUUUUAAUGAAUUACGUUACAGUCCUGCUUUAUUUCUUUGUCAUUUUCAAUUAAAUUGCCAAGCACAAUAAGACAGCUGUGUUGUAAGGAGACGAAAUUCGAGACAGGGGUGUUAUUUCAAUGAAGCGCGUGGUCAAAGGAACCGGGUGGAAGACGGUGGAAGGGAAAUUAUAUGUAAAUGUUUGUCACAGUUUUACACAUAUUCCGUGAGUAUUUUUCGCUUGUUCACGAGUGUUUUAUCAGGGUUGGAGCUAAACCUUGAAGGAAAGUGGAAACUGCUGGCCACAGUUAAGAACCUUCUGCUGGUCUGUAUUAUAAAUGCACGAUUGCAGUGCAGCGUUUGUAACCGCAAGUCUAGAUAUGCAUGUUUUCUGUGAUGCACACAAUUAAUUAAUGUGAUGGUAGCUGUUAAGACACUUACAUUUAACAUUCAAAUGCUUUAAAAACCAAACGUGUUCAGGUUUUUAUGUGUUUUUGGUUUGUGAAGUGUAAUUUUUUUUCCUCUCCCUCACAGAUAAUGGUUAAUAAAUGGUCAGACACGUCACUGGCUUUAAAAUAUAAACCCCAUUGAUGCAAAAAGAUGCUGCAUGGAAUGACAAUGUGGUUUGGAACAGACUUGGUGAAGAACAUGGAAACAUCUUUUAAUAAAAUGGCCCCAAACAUCAUCAGGAGUGCAAAAGAAGGAAGUAAAAACAUCUCUACGCCAAUCUCAUUGGAGAGGAAACCACAGAAGGUCUGGUGAGGAAUGCUGCACUUAUGUUAUUGCAAGCAUUAUUUCAAGAAAAUCCCAGCUUCCUUUACUGUGUAAAUAGUGAACCCAAAGGUCCCACACCAACCAUAGUGUUCAACGGCUCUCCUGAUCUUUUCAAAUCUGAAUGUAUCAACUUUAUAAUGGACAAUGUGAACUUAAUAUGUGGAAGACAUUGACAUCACAGGCUGUGGAAUGACUGUGUCACAGAUCGGAGAAGCGGACCGCCCCUGUCGCGGAUCACGCUCCUCCUAGUUCCACCUCGAGGAGGUCCCAAAGCACCCCAAUGACCAGACAAACCAGAGGGGGAGUAUUACGGGGCCAGGGACGUUGGAGGGUCCAAGACCCUCCUAAGCUCCUAGCCGUAGCAGAACUACGUAUUUCAGCACCCGAAGGACUAACAACCCAGCCGGCAUCUGCAGCGUAUAUCCAACGCAAUCAAACUUCACUCUGACAAGUAACUUCCUAUACACAACCACGCCGUUCUUUCGCCCGGACCAGCCCUGCACUCUUUCCGCCCACUACCUAGCGGUCGCCGGAUCAGCAGAGCCUGCGGACUCUUCGGAGGCUGGUCUUCGUUGUGCUGCCCAAGGCGGAAGUUGACUCGCCCGAAAAUCGACCCUUCCAGUAACUUCUACCUUCUCUCUUUAUAUCCUCCUCCCAGGCGUGGCUCGCCCAACCAUCGCUCGCCACGUCACUCACACAGCUGUGCCUUGUUUCAGCGAGUGCGGGGAUUCCCGGGGAACCCUGAAGUGCCGGUGUCUGUACAAACCGGUCCGGGCGGAACCUCUUCACUCUCCUUUUGGUUCCGCCCCGCAUAGUCACUCCGUGACAACUGUUUGCGUUUUUUUUUCUCCUCAAUGUUCAAUACCCUUUUGCCAUUAAGCACACAGUGACUUUAAUUUAUAAAAUAUAUGCUUAAGUUUUAAUACCUGUACAAAACAAAUGUACAAUCAACUUGUGUAAAUUGUCAU